rnacentral:rRNA from 1 species
GACGAACGCUGGCGGCACGCCUAACACAUGCAAGUCGAACGGACUUAUAAGAGCUUGCUUUUUUAAGUUAGUGGCGGACGGGUGAGUAACACGUGAGCAACCUGCAUCUGAGAGGGGGAUAGCUUCUGGAAACGGAUGGUAAUACCCCAUAAAAUAUAAAUAUCGCAUGAUAGAUAUAUCAAAGAAAUUCGCUCAGAGAUGGGCUCGCGUCUGAUUAGAUAGUUGGUGAGGUAACGGCUCACCAAGGCGACGAUCAGUAGCCGGACUGAGAGGUUGAACGGCCACAUUGGGACUGAGACACGGCCCAGACUCCUACGGGAGGCAGCAGUGGGGAAUAUUGCACAAUGGAGGGAACUCUGAUGCAGCGAUGCCGCGUGAAGGAAGAAGGUUUUCGGAUUGUAAAGUCCUUUUAUCAGGGACGAUAAUGACGGUACCUGAAGAAAAAGCUCCGGCUAACUACGUG